UGAGGAGUUGAGGCAGAUGAAUUUUGUGGCUCAUUGACUGGAAGAAUAUCAUGUGGAAUAUGCCAGUGGAGCUCUGAACCCUUAUUUGACCAAGAGUGGGUGGAGACAGAAGACUCUUCCUCAGACAGCAAAGGAAGAGAAGAUGACUAGAGCAAACAGAAAUACCAAUACUAUCAGCAUUUUAA